UACAGUGUACCACACCAAGGAACUCCCACACUCCGAAUGAACAGCCCAGUGAUCAGGAGCUUUGAAUCAAUUCUUGGCACCUAACACUUUGUGAAGAGUCUGCUAAACUCCCUCUAUCAGAAAUCCCAGAAGACUGAGAACAGGUCAUCCUUGGAGCUGUAUUUGAACGGAGUCAGGAUCUGGAAGCCCAAGUCUCCUUGUCAAUGUCUGCUUGGUUCCCAAGGACACCUGUAAAUGAAGAGGGGCAC
rnacentral:lncRNA from 1 species